GGCCCCUUCGCCAAGUGGCUAAGGCAACGGUUUGCAAAACCGUCACCCCCGGUUCGAAUCCGGGAGGGGCCU
rnacentral:tRNA from 1 species